rnacentral:rRNA from 1 species
CGAACGCUGGCGGCGCGUUUUAAGCAUGCAAGUCGAACGGGAAAGUAGUGCUUGCACUACUGGAGAGUGGCGAACGGGUGAGUAACACGUAGGUGAUCUACCUUGAGGCUGGGGAUAGCCUGUGGAAACACAGGGUAAUACCGAAUAAGCUGGUUGGAGUAAAGACCGAUCAGGAAAGGCGCGAUUGCGCCACCUUAGGAUGAGCCUGCGGCUCAUUAGUUAGUUGGUAGGGUAACGGCCUACCAAGGCGACGAUGGGUAGGGGGUCUGAGAGGAUGGCCCCCCACACUGGGACUGAGACACGGCCCAGACUCCUACGGGAGGCAGCAGCUAAGAAUCUUCCGCAAUGGGGGAAACCCUGACGGAGCGACGCCGCGUGAACGAAGAAGGCCGGAAGGUUGUAAAGUUCUUUUCUUAGUGAAGAAUAACGGAGCGAGGAAAUGCGUUUCAGAUGACGUUAGCUAAGGAAUAAGCCCCGGCUAAUUAC